rnacentral:rRNA from 1 species
AUUGAACGCUGGCGGCAUGCCUUACACACGCAAGUCGAACGGUAACAGGUCUUCGGAUGCUGACGAGUGGCGAACGGGUGAGUAAUACAUCGGAACGUGCCUAGUAGUGGGGGAUAACUACUCGAAAGAGUGGCUAAUACCGCAUGAGAUCUACGGAUGAAAGCAGGGGAUCGCAAGAUCUUGUGCUACUAGAGCGGCCGAUGGCAGAUUAGGUAGUUGGUGGGAUAAAAGCUUACCAAGCCGACGAUCUGUAGCUGGUCUGAGAGGACGAUCAGCCACACUGGGACUGAGACACGGCCCAGACUCCUACGGGAGGCAGCAGUGGGGAAUUUUGGACAAUGGGCGCAAGCCUGAUCCAGCAAUGCCGCGUGCAGGAUGAAGGCCUUCGGGUUGUAAACUGCUUUUGUACGGAACGAAAAGCCCUGGGUUAAUACCCUGGGGUCAUGACGGUACCGUAAGAAUAAGCACCGGCUAACUACGUGCCAGCCGCCGCAGUAACAC